GCCGGCCAAAGGUGCUGAAAUGGCAGGUCCUGUUGGUGCAAUGUGCUCGGGGACCUGGCGCUUCCCCGUGCCGCAGCCCGCGUCUGCGGAGUUGGCAAAACGUCCCUCCACUCUGUGACACGGCCCUGGGCGCGCACGGACCCCAGCUCACUGACGGAGGCUCGGAGGCCCUCGCUGAGGCUCGCUGCUGCCGUGCGACGUUGCCGGGACUGGGUCCCAGGAGGGUUGACUGCACUGCUUUUCAUCGAGACCAUCACUUUGGAAAAAGGCAUCUCCUUGGGUCUAUCACUCCUUCUUCUGGACUCCAUUCCUGGCUCUGACUGUGGGGACACGGGAAGAGCUCGCAGAAUCGUGGGAGCAGACGGAUGGCGCUGUGAGAUUCAGAAGUGAAGACGUUUAAACUGGGUUUGGGGGAGUAAAGGGGGAAAUUCCCAAGCAAAGGUGGAAAAUGCUCCAGACAGAAUUCAAGGUACAGACAAUCGGGAAACUCCAGCAGGUAAUAAACGGGAGGAAACGACGUUCUCUCAUCUCGCACGCGGUGAAAGUGUUUAUCACCGCAACAUUCUGUUCUAAGCAUAGAUGGAUAGGCGGAUAUUUUACAAAAGGAAUAACUGGAGUUUUUAAUGUAACGUCAAUAAUUCUUUAUGAUUCUGAGGGCACCUGGGUGGCUCAGUGGGUUAAAGCCUCU